GCGUCGGUGGUUCAGUGGUAGAAUACUCGCCUGCCACGCGGGUGACCCGGGUUCCAUUCCCGGCCGACACA
rnacentral:tRNA from 1 species